CUAUCUCUAUCCUUGAGAGUGUUUUUCUCAAGCUCUUGCUUCUUUUUGGAAAAGAUACACUUUCAUAAGAAUUUUUCAACGCUGAGAUAUGUGCAAUAGGAUUUGCUAGAAAGAGCCUUGCAAGCUGCCAAGACAUUAAAGAAUAUGCACUGGCAAAGAAAACUGGUGUCCUGAAAUUAUCCAUCAAGCACUGGUAUAUUCCUAUCUUCAUUAGAAUCCUUCUGGAUCUUGUAAGAAAUGAAAACUAAGUCUGCUGGUCACUGGACAUUACAUUUUAUAGAGUCCAGAUCCUGCUGGAAAUUGAAUUGAGAGUAUGCCGGGUCUGAGGUCUCCAAGAAAGUCAGAC